AUUUGCUGUCAGCUUUGAUACCGGAUGUUCCUUGGCAAAUACAACUGGCAAUAGAUAGGGAAAAAUAUGAAGCACAAAAGGUAAUGGAAGCUGAAGGCACCAGUUCAUUUUAGGCAAAGUGCAAUAAAUACAUCUAAAGGAAGAGACAGAACAGAAGUAUGUUUUAUCCAUAUAUGUAACCAUCACUGAAGAGAUAUCUGACCUGCACUGAAGUUGAAUAAACAAAAGAUUGUGAGAAAGUUUACAUGAUCCUUUCACAAUUAGCUGUGUA